rnacentral:lncRNA from 1 species
ACCAGCCUGCGCAAGCAUCCGCAGACGCUUCGAAAAUCAGAAAUACUGAGUGAUGACAAGGAGUCACUUCAGACAAUGGAUGUUUAUAGCAAAGGAACCAGCCCCAUAACCAAGAUGUCACAAAGCCUCAAGAUCUGAGGGGAAAAAGCAGCUGGGUUAGGUAAAUGACAGGGGAAGAAGGAAGCUCUGUGCGUAGCCCCAUACCCUGCUGCUGCUGCAAAGAGACGGGCUGCUACCGUCCUGCAUGUGAGCUAGAGGCAUUGAUUCCUCUCUGGCACACGGAAUAUUCUGAGCGUUUCUCCGGUUAUAGUUGUAUCGCCCGUCUGAUCUCUAGGAAUGUUUAUGGACAGUGGACAGUCUAUUUAUUGUACGUGAUGUCUUUCCAUUAAGACAUCUCUUCCACGACACCCACUGCGGUAUUUGUUUCCAACAAAAGUAUAAGCUGUCUUUUCUUUCUCUCUUUCUUUUUUUUUUUUUUUUUUUUUUUUUUUUUUUUUUUUUUUUUUUUUUUAAAUAUUGUAAGCUUUAAAUAAAUCUAAUUUCCAUUUGGAUGAAGUGUAACUG